GGCGAACGCUGGCGGCGUGCUUAACACAUGCAAGUCGAACGGAAAGGCCCUGCUUUUGUGGGGUUCUCGAGUGGCGAACGGGUGAGUAACACGUGAGUAACCUGCCCUUGACUUUGGGAUAACUUCAGGAAACUGGGGCUAAUACCGGAUAGGAGCUCCUGCUGCAUGGUGGGGGUUGGAAAGUUUCGGCGGUUGGGGAUGGACUCGCGGCUUAUCAGCUUGUUGGUGGGGUAGUGGAUUACCAAGGCUUUGACGGGUAGCCGGCCUGAGAGGGUGACCGGCCACAUUGGGACUGAGAGACGACCCAGAAUCCUAAGGGAGGAAGCAGUGGGGAAUAUUGCAGAAAGGGCGGAAGCCUGAUGCAGCAACGCCGCGUGCGGGAUGACGGCCUUCGGGUUGUAAACCGCUUUCGCCUGUGACGAAGAGUGAGUGACGGUAAUGGGUAAAGAAGCACCGGCUAACUACGUG
rnacentral:rRNA from 1 species